GGAUGAACGCUGGCGGCGUGCCUAAUCCAUGCAAGUCGAGCGAACAGACGAGGAGCUUGCUCCUCUGACGUUAGCGGCGGACGGGUGAGUAACACGUGGAUAACCUACCUAUAAGACUGGGAUAACUUCGGGAAACCGGUGCUAAUACCGGAUAACAUGUUGAACCGCAUGGUUCAACAGUGAAAGACGGUCUUGCUGUCACUUAUAGAUGGAUCCGCGCCGCAUUAGCUAGUUGGUAAGGUAACGGCUUACCAAGGCAACGAUGCGUAGCCGACCUGAGAGGGUGAUCGGCCACACUGGAACUGAGACACGGUCCAGACUCCUACGGGAGGCAGCAGUAGGGAAUCUUCCGCAAUGGGCGAAAGCCUGACGGAGCAACGCCGCGUGAGUGAAGAAGGUCUUCGGAUCGUAAAACUCUGUUAUUAGGGAAGAACAAAUGUGUAAGUAACUAUGCACGUCUUGACGGUACCUAAUCAGAAAGCCACGGCUAACUACGUG
rnacentral:rRNA from 1 species